rfam:Leishmania braziliensis MHOM/BR/75/M2904 complete genome, chromosome 36
GGAGCCCAUCUCGUCUGUGUUCUGUGCGAGAGAGGUUUGCCCUCUCUCCUGUGCGCUUUACACUGUAUCGAUGGGCAAGA